rnacentral:rRNA from 1 species
GUGAGGAAUAUUGGUCAAUGGACGAGAGUCUGAACCAGCCAAGUCGCGUGAAGGAAGACGGUUCUAUGAAUUGUAAACUUCUUUUGUGCAGGAAUAAAGUGGGUUACGUGUAACCUUUUGUAUGUACUGUACGAAUAAGGAUCGGCUAACUCCGUGCCAGCAGCCGCGGUAAUACGGAGGGUCCGAGCGUUAUCCGGAUUUAUUGGGUUUAAAGGGUGCGUAGGUGGAUUGAUAAGUCAGCGGUGAAAGUUUGCAGCUUAACUGUAAAAUUGCCGUUGAAACUGUCGGUCUUGAGUGCAAAUGAGGUAGGCGGAAUGUGUUGUGUAGCGGUGAAAUGCUUAGAUAUAACACAGAACUCCGAUUGCGAAGGCAGCUUACUGGGAUGCAACUGACACUGAUGCACGAAAGCGUGGGUAUCAAACAGGAUUAGAUACCCUAGUAGUCC